AGAAUGAUGACAGCAUAUUUGCUACUCAUGAUGGCUCAGAUGACGAAAUCAUUAGCCACCAAGAUCUCUGAACCU
rnacentral:snoRNA from 1 species